NNNNNNNNNNNNNNNNNNNNNNNNNNNNNNNNNNNNNNNNNNNNNNNNNNNNNNNNNNNNNNNNNGACAAGGAGAUGAGCGCCACCUUCAGACAGAUCCUCUGCUGCCAGCGCAGCGACAGUACCAGUGGCCCCACGGAAGGCUCUGACCGCUCGGCUUCCUCCCUCAACCACACCAUCUUGGCUGGAGUUCACAGCAAUGACCACUCUGUGGUUUAGAAAGGCAACCAAGAUGAGGAGCCAGCUAUCACGGAUGGAGGGAUGAACAGCUCCCCCUCCCCAGGGCCAGGGCCAGAAGAAAUUGAAGACGAGGAAGUCCAGAGGAAAAAGACAAGAUCAGUGGCUCUCCCAUUAGCUGGGAUGACAGAUGAAGGUGGUAAUGGAGGUGCAGAGAAGGAGGUGGCUGGAUUCUCAAGGACUUGGUGCCCGGAGAUUGUGUGGAUAAGGUCAAAAUCCAGGUGAUGACCUUGGCCACUGGACAGAUGGGGAUGUGAUGUGGUGAACUAAGGAACAUAGAUGAGGAGCAAAUUUCCAGGAAAACGAUAAUGAGUAAAAUUUGAGAUAUCCAUGAGCUACCCAAGGAGAAGGAUACAGUAGCAAAUUAGUCACGUGAUACACGGAGCCCAGGGUACCUCUCUGGACUGAAGAUCCAGAUGUAGAGUCCAAGGUCUUCUGCUGUGGUCCUGCCACAUUCCUCCUCAAGCUGAGAAGCACAGAGCCUUUGAUAUGUUUAAGAGUAGGGGAGAAAUUAAAGAAUAGAACUUAAUAUCUGAAACUAUUAUCCAGGAAGAAGCAGAGAGAUUUCUUUGAAACAAAAUGAGGUUAGCUGUCUGUGACAUAUUUGGGUUUUGUUUUGUUUUUUUUUUUUAACUCAAUAACAGAAAUAUCCAAGGUUGGUAAAUAUGUAGCCACCUUAAUGUGUAAUUGAAGUCGAGAUUUUUAGAGCUCAUCCAUAUUUUAUUUUCCCCUCCUUCCAAGCCUCUUGGAAAACUACGUUGCUGCUUGGUGAGUCCAUGUGACUAAUUAUGGCCGGAAGACUGAGUGCAUGUGACAGAUGUCAUUUCUAGGCUGAGAAAGUAAAAGUUUUUGUGCUACUCUUGAGAUCUCUUCCCUGAAAGCCAAGCACGGAGAGGUGAAUAUGAAAAGACUGAAGUCCCCACCAACCUGAGACCUUGAUCCACAAGGCAGAGAAAAUCCCUGCCAAGUCAUACCGAAUAUACAGUAUGAUCAAGAAAUAAACACUCUGCUGUGUUUAUGGUGAGCCUUUGUGGCUCAUUUGUUACUGCAGUAUAACCAACUUAUGUGAACAAAUAGUGUUACAUUUUGAGGAAUAUUAAGAUUCUAACCUUUUCUGGAUCAUAGGGAAUGUUCAUUAAAAUUUUGAACUUUGGUGGAGGAUACCAAAAUGCAUUCCAGAAAAAGGGUACCAUUUUAAGAGUCCUACAGAAUAUACACAGGCAAAAACAUGAAUCUAGACACAAACUUUAUACCCCCUCCCAAGAAUCAACUCAAAAUGGAUCAGAGACUUUAAUGUCAAAUAGAAAACUCUAAAACUCCUAGAAGUUAGCAUAGGAGUAAAUCCAGAUGAUCUUGGCCGUGGCUAUGCAUUUCUGGAUAAAACACCAAAGGGAGGAUCCAGGAAAGAAAUAACUGAUAAACUAGACUUCAUUAAUAUUAAAAAUAUCUGCUCUGUAAAAGGCAUAAGAGAAUGAAAAAAUAAGCCACAGACUAGGAGAAAAUAUUUGCAGAAGAUACCUCUGUAUUUAUUUUAAUACAAAAAACCUCUUAAAACUCAACAAUAAUCCAUUUUAAAGCAGGGAAAGGACUUGAACUGGCACUUGGAGAACAAGUUCUAAGGAUAGCACAUAAGAUAUGAAAAGAGGCUCAUCUUCCUCUAUCAUUAAGGAAUUACACAGUAGAAGAAAAAUGAGAUACUACUAUAUACCCAUUAGAAUCAUACGACAGACAUCAUAUUCUGGUGAGGAUGUGGAGUCGCAGGAACUCUCAUGCAUUGCUGGCAGGAACACGAAAUGGUACAGCCACUUUGGAAGAAAAGUUUGUCUUAAACUUUAACUUAAAGCUUCAAGCUUUCUCACAAAACUAACUUACUCUCAGCCUAUGAGCCCGCAGUCACCCUCCUGGAUACUCAUCCAGAAACUGAAAACUUCUGUCUACGCAGAGACCUGCGUGUGGAUGUUUAUAGCUGAGAUACCACUUUUUAGUGUUUUGUUGCUGUUGUUGUUUUUUUAGAAGCCUUGUUGUUCGAAUGGUUCUUUGAAGCACCAACUUAGAUCUUUCUGAUCUCCAAGGAAAAUAUUUUACCCUUGAAAGCUGAGCUUCAUUAUUAGACUGUGUUCUCCUGACGCUGCCUUCUCUCUGUUUUACGCCAGAAGCUUGGCAUCAUUUGCCAGUUUUAGAAAUUGACAGUUUCAAACAAUUCUGGCUCCUUUAUAUUUAACAAUCUUUUAUUUAGUUCCUCUCUUGUUGCCUUUUACUAUAAAUGACAAAAGGAAGACAAACAAAACCGCCAACCCUCUACCUGGAAACCUCCUAAUUAAACCACCCAGUUGAUAGGUACGUGUUCUACUUUCUAUGUUGUUGUGGGUGUCAGAGUUGCUAAAUUUUCUGCUUCUAUUUUAAAAGAAUCCCUUCGGGGGUGCCUGGGUGGCUUCAGUGGGUUAAAGCCUCUGCUUUCAGCUCAGGUCAUGAUCUCAGGGUGCUGGGAUCGAGCCCCGCAUCGGGCUCUCUGCUCAGCCAGGAGCCUGCUUCCUCUUCUCUCCCUCUCUCUCUCUCUCUCUCUCUCUCUNNNNNNNN
rnacentral:lncRNA from 1 species